GAUGAACGCUGGCGGCGUGCUUAACACAUGCCAGUCGAACGAUGAAGCCCAGCUUUCUGGGUGGAUUAGUGGCGAACGGGUGAGUAACACGUGAGUAACCUGCCCUUAACUCUGGGAUAAGCCUGUGAAACUGGGUCUAAUACCGGAUAGGAGCGUCCACCGCAUGGUGGGUUUUGUAAAGAUUUAUCGGUUUUGGAUGGACUCGCGGGCUAUCAGCUUGUUUGUGAGGUAUUGGCUCACCAAGGCGACGACGGGUAGCCGGAAUGAGAGGGUGAACGGCCACACUGGGACUGAGAGACGGAACAGACUCCAACGGGAGGCAGCAGUGGGGAAUAUUGCACAAUGGGCGCAAGCCUGAUGCAGCGACGCCGCGUGAGGGAUGACGGCCUUCGGGUUGUAAACCUAUUUCAGUAGGGAAGAAGCGAAAGUGACGGUACCUGCAGAAGAAGCACCGGCUAACUACGUG
rnacentral:rRNA from 1 species